rnacentral:rRNA from 1 species
GUGGGGAAUCUUAGACAAUGGGCGCAAGACUGAUCUAGCCAUGCCGCGUGAUCGAUGAAGGCCUUAGGGUUGUAAAGAUCUUUCAGUGGGGAAGAUAAUGACUGUACCCACAGAAGAAGCCCCGGCUAACUCCGUGCCAGCAGCCGCGGUAAUACGGAGGGGGCUAGCGUUGUUCGGAAUUACUGGGCGUAAAGCGCACGUAGGCGGAACAGAAAGUCAGAGGUGAAAUCCCAGGGCUCAACCUUGGAACUGCCUUUGAAACUCCUGUUCUUGAGUUCGAGAGAGGUGAGUGGAAUUCCGAGUGUAGAGGUGAAAUUCGUAGAUAUUCGGAGGAACACCAGUGGCGAAGGCGGCUCACUGGCUCGAUACUGACGCUGAGGUGCGAAAGCGUGGGAGCAAACAGGAUUAGAAACCCGAGUAGUCC